UACGUAGGGCGCAAGCGUUGUUCGGAAUUACUGGGCGUAAAGGGCUCGUAGGCGGCCAACUAAGUCAGACGUGAAAUCCCUCGGCUUAACCGGGGAACUGCAUCUGAUACUGGAUGGCUUGAGAUUGGGAGAGGGAUGCGGAAUUCCAGGUGUAGCGGUGAAAUGCGUAGAUAUCUGGAGGAACACCGGUGGCGAAGGCGGCAUCCUGGACCAACACUGACGCUGAGGAGCGAAAGCCAGGGGAGCAAACAGG
rnacentral:rRNA from 1 species